CAGUCCCUGCAGAGGACUCUGGAGUUGUGGUUGCGGGGUCCUACCCCGCAGGGGGCAGGUGGGCGUGGCGGGGAGAGGCAGUAGAGUCCCUCAAGGUCAGCUCUGACCUGUCCCCGAGGUGUUCCCGGCCCCAGCAACUGCUCAGUUAUUUGUUGAAUACUGACGGUCGAUAGAAAUCACCUGGACUGGGGAAGGCUGACCCCAGAUGCGCCUACUGGGGAAUGUGCUGGAAAGAUACGCCCCCUGGAGGGAGUGCGCCCAGGGAGUGGGGAGGAGCGUUUGAGAUCGAAGGAGUGGCCGCGUAAAGGCCCUGAGGUCUCGCAAGGAAGGGUCCUGGGGUUUCCCAGGCCCUGUUGUAGGUGCAAGAAACAGGAACCUCCUAGAGCGAGCAUGCGGUGGGGAGGCAGUGGGUAUGCCUCCUAGAUGAAGACGAAAUCCAUGCAUUAGGGAGUGAGGCCUGCUGGGGACAAAAGUCUGGCAGGCAGGGCCCGAGGAGGGUCGGGGCAGGAGAGGGUUUGCAGUCAUCGGAAACGGGGCGGCCUGGAAAACCCUCACUGAGAAGGUGCCAAGUAAGCAAAGACCCGAAGGAGACCCGGUUUCCACCGAGGCCCCGCCCUCCCCAGCGCUGUCUCCGCCCCUUGCAUAGGAGGCCACAUCUCCUACAUCUAGAUAUGCAGAGAGCAUGUCAACGCACAGGAGCUGCAGCGCCCCAUUUAACCACCAAGAGGCGCUCCAGGGCCGCUGGUAAAAAUCGUGCGGGAAGAGAUGGCUGGAGGCCAGGAGUUCAAGACCGGCCUGAGCAAAAUAGUGACCCACUCUCAACCCCCGCUCCCCGCCUCUCGUCUAUACAACAAUAAAUACAAAUAAAUAAAUAAAAUAAACAAAUAAAUAUUAAA